rnacentral:lncRNA from 1 species
CCAACAUCGGGCCAUUUUUAGCCCCAUUUUCAAUCUGUUCUUAUCCCAUUUGCAAUCUAUUUUCAGUCCAUUUACAUUCUAUUUUUAACGUCAUUUCACACAUACAAGUACAACUGAUAUGGACAGCUCAUUUCCAUAAUGCAAAAUAUUGAUACAACAUCAUAGUACAUAUAAGAUCACAUACAAAGUCUUAGGUUCUGUCUAGCAACACAUCCAGUACAAAAGUAAGGUUAUAAGAUCACAUAUAAAGACUCAGUUCUAUCCAACAGCACAUCCAGUACAAAAAGAUCAAAUAUAAAACACAGGCCGUACUCCAGAACAACCAAGUAAAGGUUCUUGUACUUGUCUCCCUGGAAACAACAUUUAUAUAUACAGUAAGAAGUGUUACAAGUUUAGUUACUGAACAUAAACUAAUACAUUGUUAGAAUAAAGAAACAUAAACUAUUACCUCAAUCUGUUUUUAACUAAGCUAUCAUCAAUCGUGUCAUUCUAGUAUCUACAUAGCAUUGCUCUUCUUCAUCGAGUGAAUAUCCAAUUUCAUACCAUUUUUCUGGAAAGGAGUGUGCAAAAUUGUCAGAAGAUAAAUCUUACAAACCGCACAUGCUUCCUAGGUUAUUCAUGUACAGCCAUUUCACAUGCCACAUCCUGGUUUUAGCUAUGUACACCUAACAUUGUACUAAGUUACCUAAGCUCAACCAUACAUGUUCAAGAGGCAAAAGACAGUCAACACAUAAGCUGUUCAAAAGACGAGUCCUCGGUGUCCAUGACGUCACCAUAUGUGUCCCCAUCAACAUGAGAUGAACUAGUAGGUAGCAUAUGUGUCCAUGUCAGUUAAUAUAUUGACUUUACUGAGUGCUAUAUGAAUGAUUCAUCAUCUAGUAAAAACUAUCUGAUAUUCUGAUCUAGCGUAUUUAUAAAACAGUAAUCUUCCAUAAAAAGGUAUAAAAGAUUACUAAAUAAAUUUAAAUUGCAUAAAAUGUGUAUAAUCAACUCAAAGGUACAAGCCUACUAGACAAAUUACUAAUCCUAGUGUUCUGUACAAUACUUGGCUACUAAUCCAAAUUAUGUCGGACCAACAACUGAACGAAGUCAUGCAGGAUCUCAUUUUUGCAUUUUUCUCUGUAAAACUCGAUCAUUUAUAGGAGCUAACACUACUACAGCGCAGGGUUAUAGUAACAUCAACAUGUGUCUGCUAAAUCCUGAACUUUAUCUCCUAAAUCCUGAAACCUGAAACAAACUGCAGCACAAGAAUUCACUCACUGAAGACAAACCAUAGCUGCUACUGAGAACUGAAAACUGAAGUGAACUGCAGAUCAUGUUAACAUGCAAAAAACAUGAAAGCUAUCGGCUUAGCACAACCAGCAGCAGCAGCACCAAAUCAGCGUCUGCUGCUCACCCGAAAUGACCAGCAGAAGCAGUACUAGUAGCAGAUUUGAUGCCAUACAUGUAUUCAUUAGUAAAAUAUACAAGUACUACUAGCAGAUUUAUUUUUAAUAAUCGAUAAUUAUUGCAGGCACAUGCAUACACUGAUUCUGUAUCACAAUCACUAGUAAAGGAUUCAGGCAAACACAACCAAGUACUGAGCAGGGGCUGGACAAAGAGUUAACUGCAGACAAGCUGAACACUACUGCAGCUGUUGGAAAUUUGACAGAGUUAAAAACAUCAUGUAUACCCCCACACAUUUGGUACAAUUAAUAAAUAGGACAUCAAUUUCAUUUGGUUGUACAUGUAUAAUAGUUUUGCUAAGGAAAAUGCAGUGAAGGAAGAAAGUCUAAAAAACAUUGGAAAUCAACUUAGAAGCAGGGAAACGUCAAUGUUUCAAGGACAGUGAAAGGUAAAGUGAUUAGCUGCAGUACAAAAAAUGAAUCAGAAUAUAAAGAUAAGGGAGCAAGAUUGCACCACUGCCAGAUCGGCCGUGGCCUAGCCAAAACCGAUGUGGCAAUGCCCGAUCCAUCGCGCCCCCACCCGGAAAUAAAGCUCCGCCGCCUGAAUUGAUGCACUUCCCGGUGAAAUUGCAGUGCCCUCACCGGAUCUGGCCCUGGGUGAUGGGAAGACAGCAGAGAGGGCGACGCUGGGAUGGGCGAGCACUCGAUCGGCCGAGGGUGCCACCACCUGCCUCCUCCAUGCGCCAUGCUCCGGCCUCGAUCUGCUCUAGUCGUGUGGAGUGGAGGGCAGCUUGGAUUGGGUGUGGCACGCCGCUACACCAGGCAGCUGCGACAGUGAUGUUCUGAGGUGGGAGAGGCGGCGGCUUGUGCUUUGGUGCAUAGAGGAGGGAAGCAGCGGUGAGUGGGUUAGGGUUUGGGGGCGCCUUAUAUAUGCGACCGGGUAUUGGG